GUGCCGCUAGCGGCACGCUGAUCCUAGACAGGUUAAGCUUCAGAUUCUGUCACUAUGUAGUUUUAUUAUGUCACCUUUAUUUAACCAGGUAGACCAGUUGAAAAACAAGUUCUCAUUUACAACUGCGACCUGGCCAAGAUAAAGCAAAGCAGUGCGACACAUACAACAACACAUGUAAUAACCUGGUAUUUGUGCACCUGAAUGUAAAGUGUGACUAGAGCUGUUGCGGUGACCAUAUUACCGCCACACCAGCGAUCAAGAGUUAUAAAGGCAGUCAAAUUCCAUAUGACUGUUUAGUCACAGUAAUCAGGCUUCUCCAAGCUCGGAUGCUGCUGAUCGUCAUUAAUAGCCGACCAAACUUGCUACCUGCCUGGUAAUCCGCACUCUAUUGUCCCUCUAAUCACUCUGACAUCAGUGCAAAUGUUUUUGAAAAUCGAAUCAAACACUUCAGGAGAGCCUGUGAGCUCAUGUUGCGAUCCUCUACUAAAAGCUUCCAUCAGCUUUCUAGAGGCUAGGCCUACUAUGUUCUCAACUUUCUUAAUACCUUUUUUAACUUUACAACAGGAGUAUAGCCUACCUGGCUGGCAUGAAAGUGAACCACCGGAAAAGCAUAGUUGACAUGUAUUUCUUCCCCUUCCCCUGUUUCGAUACAGGUACAUGCUAUUAGUCUAUUUUAAAUCAAACCAAAUUUCACACACAUCAUUUAGUACAUGUAAAGACAACAUUAAAUCAAGAAUAGUCUGAUGGGUGACAAUAUUAGCCUCUUGAUAAGGUUUGUUCAUACAGGUUCAUCAUACAAACCUUUUGAUAAGGUUUGUAUGAUGACUAAAGUGGCCAAAUAACUUCUUAAAAUGGAGUAUAUUAGUGAAUUACAAGGGGUGUGGAGCCUAACUGGCAUGCAUAAGCAGCAUGUGAGUUUCAAGUUUGAGGAAGAUAAUUUUCACCAUAAAAAUUCACCUUUAUAAUAAGAGUAUUACAUGCAUAAUCACAUUUGCUGUCACUUAUGAUAAUGGUGUUUCCCGCUAAUGGAACAUUUGUGCUUAUAGCCUACUACCAUUUGCUCAUUGCUGUGCUUAUAAUGUGAAUAAAUAGCCUAAUAGUUUUUUAACAUUAAGCUAAAUGUUCUGAUCUGUUGCGAAAGCAAGUUUUUUUUUUUUUACCUAGUGGUUGUAUUAAUUUGGGAUCUAUUACAUCCUACAACUGUCCCAGACUGUGUUUGUAAUCAUUUUUUUUGUACUAUUGGGGAUAGUAGAUUGACAUAGGCUAGUGCUUCUGCUGUUCAAGGCCUAAUCAUCUUGUUGGCUGACAAAGUCAAUGUAGACAGUACUUCAAAUAUCUUCAAUAUGCACCUCUGAAUUGGAUAAGGACGCGCUCGGUUGUGUCCCGGAUAUGUCUGUGUUCACUUAUAGCCUGUGAGAAAGAUCCGAUUAGGGGAUGGAGAGCCAUGUGCGUGAGAGUUGCUUCGGAGUGUGCAGCAUUCGCGGAGAAGGGCACAAAGCAACACUUCGGGCCAAGGGCACAACGGCCACCAGCCGCAAAAGGCAUGGAUUUUUUUAGGGUGCAUUACGGCCACAAAGGGGAUGCCACCGUGAAAUUCAUUAUCAAGUGCUUGUCAAAUUGUGAAUGAGAGACUGAUGAAGUGUGUACAACCUGCACACACAAAACAAAGCAGAGCUCAUGCUUUUCAAGCAACUUUUUUUCAAAUCAUCAUUAGAGCCUCAUCAUGCAGCCUUACAAUGUAUUCAAAAUCUAAACAUAUAGCCCAACGUUUGUAGAACAACUGAAGUUACAUUAAUAACUCUAAAUUAAGCAUAUGGGAGUACCUAUUUCUUUGUUAAUCACUCAUCACAGAAUAGCCGCAUGUGCGCACUCCCUCAAUUAAUUUGGAGAAAUAUUUAUAUUUCAUUCAGCUUUGUUCAAUUGUAUUCAUCAUACUAUAAAUGAAAUGUUGUCUACUAAAUGAAUUAGUAUAGACCACAGCCAUUUGGCAUUGCUCAUUGCUCUUCUGUUCUUCUGAAACAGACUACAUUUUCUUCAUAUCAUGCUUCUUUUGGACCUGUCUAAAAUAAAUAAUGGAUGUAUUGUGAAGGUGUAGGCUAUAUUACAUGGAUUUAUUAGACUUUUUAAAAAUGUAGAUGUUCCAAAGGUCUGCAUCAGUGGCUUGUGUUGAAGCCAGGAUAUGCUAAAUGUGUUUAUGUUAAUUAACUGUAACAGCCAGCCUGGCACCCAUGGAGGGAGGAGUGGUGGAGCCGGUACAAGAAGAGGGCGUGGUGAAAGAGGAGAAGAUGGAGCAGUCGGUGUGUGGAGGAACGUAAAAGGGGGAUGAGGAGAGGAGUGUGGGAAAACAAGACUGAAUCCUGUAAAAGAACAGCCUCGAUUCGUCGGGGCAUGGACUCUACAAGGUGUCAAAAGCGUACCACAGGGAUGCUGGCCAAUGUUGACUCCAAUGUUUCCCACAGUUGUCAAGUUGGCUGGAUGUCCUUUGGGUGGUGGACCAUUCUUGAUACACACGCAAAACUGUUGUGUGGAACCCAGCAGCAUUGCAGUUCUUCACACUAAAAUCAGUGUGCCGUUCAAAGGCAUUUAAAUAUUUUGUAUUGCCCAUUCACCCUCUGAAUGGCACACAUGUCUCAAUUGUCUCAAGGCUUAAAAAUCCUUCUUUAACCUGUCACCUCCCCUUCCUCUACACUGAAUUGGAAGUGGAUUUAACAGGUGACAUCAAUAAGGGAUCAUAGCUUUCACCUGGUCAGUCUGUGAUGGAAAGAGCAGAUGUUCUUAAUGUUUUGUACACUGUGUAUAAAGUGGCACCACACUAAUUACCCAUGUAAGGUUUAUUUAUUUCUUCAUUUUUGUCACGGGCACAGACUGAGGAUCUUAGUCUGAGCAGGGAAGAGAAGUGAGUGAGGGAUGGAGAGAGAGAUGUCCCCCAACUCCCAUAUUUUUCUCCAACACUCCUCUAUGCUGAAGAUGGCACUUGAAACCACCACAUCCUCCAAUCUGCCAUUUUCUCCUUCAGUUCCAGUUGAGACUUAACGCAGGAUUCACAGAGGAAGGGGUGAGAGUAUGUUUCUCUCUCUCCGUCCUCUGCUGCCAGCCCUGCUGCAGUUGGAGGGAGAAGUGAAUGGAUUUUGGAGCAGAAAAGUAGGGGAGAGAUGUGGUUGGGAUUUGGACUCCAGCAGACAUAGGGAGGGUGGGAGGGGGGUUAAACUCCUGACUGGACAGAUAUCGACCCAGCCUAUCCUCUAGUGUGAGGAUCACUGGUGUGUGAAGAGCGAGAGAGACUGACUGUAGGCCUAUCCAAUAGGUUUUUUGUACUGGGGUACAAGAUGAGAACUGCACAGAUUUUUCUGAAACUUGAGUUCAGAAGUAUCCUUGUUUUAGCAUCAAGUGUUUCUGUUCUGGACAUGUAUUUCUGUUUUCAUGGAUCUUUCUUAAACUGUAACAAACCUUGACUGACUAAAAGAAGUUCCAACAUACUUUGGCCUUUUGUAUAAUUGUUUGAUAUUAUUUGCAGAAUAAACUAAAUUUAACAUUG